CACGCAAUCGCCAAAAAAACACCACACGCCCCUCCAAAUCCCUAGCCUCACCCGUCUCUGACAAGAGCCGGGUACAUGGUAGCCACCACCGCCUCCAACAAUCCCAAUCUCUGAUAAGAUCCGGGUACAGGGUAGCCGCCGGGUACAAGGGAGCUGUCUCUAUCGUCGGGGACAAGGACACAUGUGUAAACCGUCGAUGCAUCAGGUCCUUCGAUCUCUCCCCUGCUCGUCACUCCUCACUGUUCUCCCCGCACGGCUCUGCCUCCACGCGGGGAUUCGCUCUAUGGUGUCCAUGAGAGGCGGCUGCAGGCGCCAUGGUGUUGAUCCGGUCAUUGUUGGUAUUCAAGUUGCCACAUGACUUGUCUGUUUUUAUUUCUUAUUAGAGUGAUUCAAGGAUUUGAGGCGAGUUUUACUCUACGUGUAUUUCUUUUAAGGACAUAGAUGAGGCGGAUAAAGCCUUUGAUGAACUAGACGGCCAAGAGACUAAGGAAGGAGCUACCAUCCCGGUUUGAUUGCGUUCAUCCUGGACUAACUAUACAACAGUUUCAUGCCUUUAUUUCUCCACAAGGUUAUGAAUUAUUUCUUCCAUACUAUUAUGAUCUUGUGUUCAAGUAAGUAAUCUUUACCAGUGUGUAAUAUCUUCUGAAUUUAACUGUACCUAAAAGAAUAUACUUUUUGUUUCUGAAGGGGGCAACAAGUACAUGUUAUGCCUAGGCUCAACCAUAUCAGCUGAAGGGAGUGACAAGCAACUACUUUGUUGACAAUGAGGAGAAGACGAGCAAUAUGGUAAAGAGUGACUCCUUGGUGAAGCAACUUAAUGAAUUCAUUGAAGUGGCUGAUAUUGUAAUUUUCACAUCUUGUUUUUCUUUGUUCUAGAAUAGAUAAGCAUGUAUACACAAUAGAGAGAAAAUCUUUAUCUAUUCUUUGCAUCCUUCC